AUGGAUCCUCUGUUCAAUGAACUUGUCGACCUCGCUACUGAAGACAGCAUACCCGAUAUGUCGAAAAUCGUUCUUAUGGCACAGCAAGAAAGUAGCGGGAAUGAAGCGCCGUCAUGUUCAUCGUCACAGGACGACAUGCCAGCAACGCCAUGUGUAUCUUAUAAUGGGGCCGUCCUUGAAGAUGCAGAGUUUUUCUGGCUGAUGGUAGACCAGACAAAGUGUUUUCAAGUGACUAAUGCAGAGGAAGGACUUGUCGCAAUUAUGUGUGCAAACUGGUUGUUCAAUGUUCAAUAUGCUUGUAAAGCGUUAAACACCCUUGUCGUCCUCGAAAGAUUUUUUCUUGAGCUCGAAAAGACAACACCAAGAUCUGUUGUUGCGAAGUUCUUAAACAUUGUCGUAAAAUCCACAUAGUCAUAUGAUAAUGCCAUAUGGUAAUGUUCUUGCACAUUUGCCUUACUGCAUAUUUUUUAUGUUUGAUUGUAUUAGUGAUUGAAAAUUUAUUGAUUAUUAUUGCCGUUUUUAGUGCCGCAUUAAUUUAUUUUGCAUUCGCUUCACAAGUCGUGCAUGUUUCUCCUUUUGCAUAGCCGGGCACACAUGCUGUCAAAUAACCCAUGGUCAUUGAACUUUUUAGUUAUUACCAUAUUACAUUCCUGCAAGACAGAACUAUUGUGCAAUAGUUUUUGCUGCUUGUUUGCUAAUCUAAAUAACAUUACACUGCCUUGGUUAUGGUCAGAUUAGAUUAUGUGGGCCAUUAUGAUAUAAUGCACAUUGCAAGAAGCAUGUGUAAAAUUUUGCAAUAAAUGUAAAUAAUUUAGAGAAAAA